rnacentral:rRNA from 1 species
UACGAAGUGGGCAAGCGUUGUUCGGAAUUACUGGGCGUAAAGGGCGCGUAGGCGGCUUAUCAAGUCAGGCGUGAAAUUCCCGGGCUCAACCUGGGGGCUGCGCUUGAUACUGAUUGGCUUGAAUGCGGGAGAGGAUAGUGGAAUUCCCAGUGUAGAGGUGAAAUUCGUAGAUAUUGGGAAGAACACCGGUGGCGAAGGCGGCUAUCUGGCCCGUAAUUGACGCUGAGGCGCGAAAGCGUGGGGAGCAAACAGG